rnacentral:rRNA from 1 species
GAUGAACGCUGGCGGCGUGCCUAAUACAUGCAAGUCGAGCGAACGGACGAGAAGCUUGCUUCUCUGAUGUUAGCGGCGGACGGGUGAGUAACACGUGGAUAACCUACCUAUAAGACUGGGAUAACUUCGGGAAACCGUAGCUAAUACCGGAUAAUAUUUUGAACCGCAUGGUUCAAAAGUGAAAGACGGUCUUGCUGUCACUUAUAGAUGGAUCCGCGCUGCAUUAGCUAGUUGGUAAGGUAACGGCUUACCAAGGCAACGAUGCAUAGCCGACCUGAGAGGGUGAUCGGCCACACUGGAACUGAGACACGGUCCAGACUCCUACGGGGGGAAGCAGUAGGGAAUCUUCCGCAAUGGGCGAAAGCCUGACGGAGCAACGCCGCGUGAGUGAUGAAGGUCUUCGGAUCGUAAAACUCUGUUAUUAGGGAAGAACAUAUGUGUAAGUAACUGUGCACAUCUUGACGGUACCUAAUCAGAAAGCCACGGCUAACUACGUG